CGACCGGCGCACGGGUGAGUAACGCGUAUGCAACUUACCUAUCAGAGGGGGAUAGCCCGGCGAAAGUCGGAUUAAUACCCCAUAAAACAGGGGUCCCGCAUGGGAAUAUUUGUUAAAGAUUCAUCGCUGAUAGAUAGGCAUGCGUUCCAUUAGGCAGUUGGCGGGGUAACGGCCCACCAAACCGACGAUGGAUAGGGGUUCUGAGAGGAAGGUCCCCCACAUUGGUACUGAGACACGGACCAAACUCCUACGGGAGGCAGCAGUGAGGAAUAUUGGUCAAUGGCCGAGAGGCUGAACCAGCCAAGUCGCGUGAAGGAAGAAGGAUCUAUGGUUUGUAAACUUCUUUUAUAGGGGAAUAAAGUGGAGGACGUGUCCUUUUUUGUAUGUACCCUAUGGAUAAGCAUCGGCUAACUCCGUGCCAGCAGCCGCGGUAAUACGGAGGAUGCGAGCGUUAUCCGGAUUUAUUGGGUUUAAAGGGUGCGUAGGUGGUGAUUUAAGUCAGCGGUGAAAGUUUGUGGCUCAACCAUAAAAUUGCCGUUGAAACUGGGUUACUUGAGUGUGUUUGAGGUAGGCGGAAUGCGUGGUGUAGCGG
rnacentral:rRNA from 1 species